AAGGUACUUGAUUGAACUCAAU
rnacentral:siRNA from 1 species